rnacentral:sRNA from 1 species
GCGAAAGCAGUAGAGACAUAAAAGUUUUUUUAUCUACAGAAAAGUAACUGCUCAGAUCGUUAUGACAAGCUUCUCUAGACAACCAAGGUAAAACUUCAAUCUUCAACAUGUAAUCCAACAUGAUUUAGGGAAUGGCCAGCCUCUGGAGAUAAAGGUAGUUCAGUCUCCAUGUCUAUUCAAUCCUUGACCUGU